CACGUGAGCAAUCUGCCCUUGACUCUGGGAUAACUGCGGGAAACUGUAGCUAAUACCGGAUACUUUCCUCGGUGGGCAUCCACUGGGGAAGAAAGAAUUUCGGUCAAGGAUGAGCUCGCGACCUAUCAGCUAGUUGGUGAGGUAAUGGCUCACCAAGGCGACGACGGGUAGCCGGCCUGAGAGGGUGACCGGCCACACUGGGACUGAGACACGGCCCAGACUCCUACGGGAGGCAGCAGUGGGGAAUAUUGCACAAUGGGCGCAAGCCUGAUGCAGCAACGCCGCGUGAGGGACGAAGGC
rnacentral:rRNA from 1 species